CAGGAUUCCUAAAGAAAUUGGGCGCUUUAAGGAGAAAUCCUCAAAGUGGAUCUGCUCAAAUUCGGGGAAAGCUUUAUGGGGGACUCCCAUGCCAAUCCCGAGCCAAGCCUCUCUUCAAAGGAGAGGAAGGUGUAGAGACUGAACGGGCAGCGCCUAAAGAGCAUAAGCUUCAAGGUGAAGAGACAGUCCAGACCACAAACAGUCUGUAA
rnacentral:ncRNA from 1 species